rnacentral:rRNA from 1 species
AUUGAACGCUGGCGGCGUGCUUAACACAUGCAAGUCGAACGAUGAAGCCGGAGCUUGCUCUGGUGAAUUAGUGGCGAACGGGUGAGUAACACGUGAGUAACCUGCCCUUGACUCUGGGAUAACUGCGGGAAACUGUAGCUAAUACCGGAUACGACCCUCGGAGGCAUCUCCUGGGGGUGGAAAGAAUUUCGGUCAAGGAUGGACUCGCGGCCUAUCAGCUAGUUGGUGAGGUAAAGGCUCACCAAGGCGACGACGGGUAGCCGGCCUGAGAGGGUGACCGGCCACACUGGGACUGAGACACGGCCCAGACUCCUACGGGAGGCAGCAGUGGGGAAUAUUGCACAAUGGGCGCAAGCCUGAUGCAGCAACGCCGCGUGAGGGAUGACGGCCUUCGGGUUGUAAACCUCUUUUAGCAGGGAAGAAGCGAAAGUGACGGUACCUGCAGAAAAAGCACCGGCUAACUACGUGCCAGCAGCCGCUGUAA